GAUGAAGAACGUAGCAAAAUGCGAUAAGUAGUGUGAAUUGCAGAAUUCAGUGAAUCAUCGAAUCUCUGAACGCACAUUGCGCCCCUUGGUAUUCCAUGGGGCAUGCCUGUUCGAGCGUCAUUUGUACCUUCAAGCUUUGCUUGGUGUUGGGUGUUUGUCUCGCCUUUGCGUGUAGACUCGCCUUAAAAUAAUUGGCAGCCGGCGUAUUGAUUUCGGAGCGCAGUACAUCUCGCGCUUUGCACUCAUAACGACAGCGUCCAAAAGUACAUUUUACACUCUUGACCUCGGAUCAGGUAGGGAUACCCGCUGAACUUAAGCAUAUCAAUAAGCGGAGGA
rnacentral:misc_RNA from 1 species